GCAAAUUAAAAAAUCUAUUUUUAUUAUGGAUGUGAACUUUUCUUAUCUCCUUUUCUGAAACUUAUGGGGAGCUCUGGAUUGCACUGCCAACUCAUCGUGUUUUCUUCUAGGGAACUUUUGGUAGGAGAGGAGCUUCUCAAGGAGUAAUCUUCUGUAAAUCUGCAAAAACAGCAAACAGGUCCUGUAUUCAAUUGCCUCUCAGUGGGAAGUAAACGGAGUCAAGAGCGUUUUUCUUCGUUACUCUGAAUGUCUACUGUCCUUUAUUUGUGAAAGUAAAGAUAAGGAUGCUGUAACAUAAUAUUUGGAGGAAAACAUAGAAUAAGACUGCUCCCUUUCACAGCAGCCCAAUCCCAAGCUGAAGGAGAAGCAUCUGGCACAAUAGAAAUUGUCACACCACAAGGCUGCAACUUCGACUGGUGAGACAAGGCUUCCCUUGGAUGUGCAGAUCACAGAGAAGAGACUGUUUAAAAGGACACUGCAGCUACAAGGCAGUGGCACAGCCAUGCUGUUGCAGGCGAUGAGGAGCCUCAAUCUGCGGGAACCAAAGGCAAAGAGAAACACACUCCCCUGGUGCUAAACUCAUUGUGUGUGUGGCCAGAGCAACCUUUGCUUAUUAUAUUUUGAGAGGAAAUCCCUUAAACACACUGCCCGCUCAAGUCCAAGGCCAGUGACACUAGUGGGGGUUCCCCAGGUCAUGUCUCAUAAUGGGGAGGUGGUCAGAAAGGAGGGGUGCUGGAUCAGAAGGUGGUUGCUCGUGGGCUGCUGUCAUAGCUCCCAGCUGAUCCCUCCAACAGCUUUGGUCCAGGUGCUCUCCAAAAGCACAGUCCUCUUCACCACAGCCUUUGCUCUUUACUUAUUGACUCCUCUUGCCAGUGGCUCUUUGAUUUCAGGAGGCCGAGCGGAAGGAGAGGCAGAGGAAGGCUGGAGAGGAAUGGGAACUCUUCAGCACAGGAGGUGGACCGUGUUUCUUUCAUCUUUACCAAAGAGGAAGGAAAAAGCCUCAGGAGGGUAUUCCCAGGGAGGAAGUAAUUCCCUUUUCUUCCACCCAGCAGGAGGGUGCAUCCUACCUUCAGCUCUCUGCUCCCUGGCUCCCCAGGCCAGCGGGGUUACAUGCUGCUGGCUCUGACCACCCCACCCCAGAACUCCUCCAUGCUGAGCAGAUUUAAAGGUCCUCACAGACCCUUUGGGGUUUUAACAAGAAUCACCACCCACUACAGACUCUGUGGGUUGGGCUGGGGAUCGACACAUGAGCUCCCCAGCAUGUGCAAGCACGCCAGCUUUGGGUGCUGGGACCCUGCCUCAUGUUGUCAUUCUCAUUUUCUGAAUAGUAAAAGAAAGCAUCAAUGUACCUCUGCCCAAGGCAAACCCUGGCAAAAAGCCAUUGUUCUUCAUACGAGGAGUUGGUUUCAGCAUCAGAGACUUGGAGGAUGGAGGGGAUAAACUUGGUUUAUCCUGACCCCCUCUCCUCUAGAACAGAGCCUCUGCCAACAGCAGUAGCAGCAACAGCAGUAUCAGACAGCUGUGAGUUCACCUCCCACAUGAAGGCAUUGCUUUGCUGCUUACAGAAACAUUAUUGUUACAUACUAAUUUCAGGUGGAAGAACUCAUGUGUGGGCAGGCAUUUCUCCCAGCAUUAGAAGACCCUUUUAAAACAAAAAUUAAAAAAUCCCAAAACAUAGAAAUGGCUCCCAUGCCUGUUAGGUAUCUACAACCAUGCCUUGGCUACUACUGUUGAGAAUCCAGGAUUUUUCUGACACCCAAUUAAAUUAGUGUAAUUGGGAUAGAGUUGCAAUUUCUUUGCCUCCAGCUGUGAGUCAUAAUCUGUUUAGCACCUGAGUGCUAUUUCAGUUUAUUUUUAGUGCUUAGCCCAUAGUUUGGAAAGGGAAAAAGCAAACCUACAUGUCAGUCAGGAUUUUGGGAAGGUGUAGAUUACUUAUCAUUAAUUUAAAUGUGGCAUUUAAAUGUCCAUUCACAGGUGGUUUUAAUGCUUUUAUUAACUUCUUUUUUGGACUUUGUAAGGAAUACAUUUGAAAAAAGAAAUGCCAAGGACCUUGGACUACAGGCCAUGCCAAUAAUACAUUGCUGUUACUACAUCAUGGGGAAAACUGUAAAACAAGAGAAGAGGUUCCAAUGAGGGGAAAAAGAGAACUUUAUUAUGAUAAGGAAUGAUAACAAAAAUGAAGGAAAAAAUUAUCAGUACCUGGUCUUGUUUGGGCUACCAGUUCAGCCUACAGUACAUUUUGAAAUGAUGAAUUGACUGGAGAGAAAAACAUAUUCCAGAUGUUUUUUGUCUUUGUCUCCAGUAUUUACUCCAUCAGGCUUUAUUCAGAGCAAUUAUUCAAUGGAAAUAAAUGAUAUACCAAGUGAUAUAAAAGAGAAACUAGUACUGGGGAAAUAGCUCAGGAUAAAACACAAACUAACCAGAAACUUCAUCUUCAGUUCAGAUCCUCGGUUAUGACUCAAACCAACCAGCCUCAGAAAAAUGCCUCUGAAUAGUGGUUGAUGAAAACUGUGGGCAAAAAUAAUUGUGAUGGAUUGGGAAACCAAGGCCACAAAAGUGUUGAUGUACAGGGGCUGGGAGAAGAGGGAAUCCCCCCCUGCUGAAGUGGGGCAGAGAAACACCUGUAUGAACCUGCUGUGCCCUGUUGUGUGGGGGUGGACAAGGGCCUCAGCUUUGCUGGGGUCAGGGCUUGGAGACCAGUGCUGUGGAGCAGAGGGUGAAAGGCUAGGAGGCAACAAUGCUGGGCUGGCUCCAAGGAUGUGGGAUAAGGGUCUCUCCUGCCAUGGCCAACGUAGCAUUACACAAGAGACCUUAGUGCCAGAUCCUCUGAUUCAUCCCCAGCCUAAAGAGGUUUCAUCUGAAAUGAAGAUUUACGGGCAUCGGAGAUGGAGUAAGUCAUUAAGGUAAACAUAACGUAUUGACUAAUAGGACAUGUCUAGUAGUCUCCCCACAACCAAAGUGGGAAUAACAGCAGGUCCAUGCCCCUCCAGGUUGUCUGUUACAGAAAUAACAAAUUUCACAACUCCUCAGGCAUCUUAUCUAAAGGGAUGUUUAUUUUCGCAAAGCAAGACUGAAUGUCUUAAAAAAAGAGCCCCACCUCAUCUUAUCCAUCUAUCUACACUCUCCAGGGUGAGGUUUACUUUAAAAACAAAAUAGCCAAAAGGUAAUUGCACAUAAGUUUAGCCUUAAGAUAUUUUAGUGACGCUUAGAAGGUGUGGAACAAAACCCCUGUCACUAAGUUGAUGCCUCUAAAAUAUCUGCCAAAACAGCUCUUUAAAAAGGUAUUUGCACCUUUAUUUAGUUCCUUCUUGUGAGGAAUGUUUACUGCAGUCCGUAGAUGUGGUUAUGUCAUGUUUCCACUGUGUUUUCAUUCAGUGUUGCUCUGUAUUUGUGGUUUUCUCAUUUGUGACAGUCUAGUAACUGGAGCCAUUUGUACCUGAGCAAAUAAUAUCAAAUCUGAAUACUUUAUAAAUAUUUACAAUAUUUGGUGUGUCUCCCACUCACAUCAAAUGCAAAGUAUAAAAAGCAAAAACAAACAGAAACAAACAGAACCUGUGUUACGUUAUAAUAAAUAUUUACUGUAUGUACUAUUGACUAAAGAGUCCCAUACAGCUAUUUAGGAGGCAUUGUUUCUGUCAGGCUGUUCUAUAUUAAAACACUCUAAAUGAAGCUGUUUGAGAAUAAAAAUGUGCAUGUUAGGGA